UUCGAGACGUCAGUUGCGAAUCUACGCUGUUAUUUUUUAUCUGUUUCAGCGUCACCUAUACGUCAACUACAUGUUAUCAAUGCUGUAUGAACGCAGAUUAUAAGUUCGCAUUCUGAAAUACUGAUAGUAUGUUUCUUUCUAAAGGGUGGAAAACAAUUGUCAAUGCCGCAACCACCAAGAUUUCCGAUUUCGCUGCGUAGCCGAGCCUGGUCUAGGUCUAUCCACACUGAGAGCGGUUUCCUUGAAACGCUUAACGCUCGUCGUCCGUCCGUUAACAAGUGUAAUCUGUUUUAAUCAGUGGUUUUCCUCGCGUUUAUCAUAGUGUCGUCAGGAACAACGGAAAAGCUAGAUGUCGCUAGCAAACAAGUAUAUUUUCGGUGUUCUCAGUGGAAAGUGUAGUGAGUGCGAAGAUUGCAAAGAAUAUAUAACCGAAAACGAACGUCACCACCGCAGCCCUAAUUCACACACUUCAUACACUGGGAUCCCACAUGCAGGUUCACAUACCGUCACCAGCGCAAUGCAGUACCUCACAAACUCGUCCCAGAGCGCCUCCAACACUGAUAACGCAGUAAUGUAGUCUCUCCUGCGUUACUGUACACUCAUAUUCCUCAAGGUUGUGUGCGUUUUAUGUAAUACUGUAUUGCCAUUUGCGCUCGCCUCUGCAACACGAAUGUGGAAUAAAUUUUUUUCUGCUGCA